CUGGCUCAGGGGGUAGAGUACUUCAAGGAUAACUGGUCUGACUUUUAAAGGCAGAUGUAAAGACAGCACUGAGAACGUCAGCUUCUUCCUAAUCCUCAGCAGUCAUGCUUCCCACCAAAUCCAGUAGAGGAUGGAAAUCCUCCCUUGCCCUUCUCUUAUUGUUAAUAUAUUAGUAAAAAAGAUUUUUGUUCUCUUUUACCUCAACACGCAAGCUUUCAAGCUUGGCUUUUGCCUUUCUUUCUCUCUGCACAUCCAAAUAACUUCUUUGUAUGCUCCCUGAGCUGCCCAUCCCAUCUUCCACAGGAAGUAGAUUCUCUUUUUCUCCUGCAGCUUCAGGAAUAGCUCCCCAUUUAUUGAUGCCAGACUUCUUUCCUGUCUAUGUAUCUUGUGGCUCAGGUAUAUAGCCUGUUCCUGAACCUUUAAGACUUCACCAAGAAUCGGGAACUCUGCCAUUUCAUAGUCACACUGUCCAAGUCAGCUCCUGAUCUCCACAUCUUCCACCAGCCCUUCUCUGUUUGUGAACAGCAGGUUCAGUGGGGCACCUCCCCUGGUGGGCUCUCUUCCCAGCUGCAUCAGAAAAUUAUCUUUCAUACACUCUACAAACCUCUUAGACUGCUUCUUCUGCACUGUAUUGUAUUUCUAGCAUAUAUCAGGGAAAUUUUAGUUCCCCACGAGGACAAGCGCUAGUGAUAGCACAACUUUUGCCAGCUGUUCAUAGAAUGCCUCAUCUGUCUCUUCAUCCUGGUUAGGUGGUCUAUAACAGGAUGUCCACCUUGUUGACCCUCCCUCGAUCAUUAUCCAUAAAGAUUCAGCCUUAUCAGUCCCAGUUCCAAGCUCAACAACAUCAAACUCUCUAAAGUAGAGAAAUCCUUCACUUCCUGGCAUUUCUCCUGGGUGUUCACAGCCCUUAAUCUUAUGUUAACUAAUGUUUUUGUAACUGGCCUGUGGUGAUUUCUGAAGAGUCUUAGAUUCAUUAGUGCAACUGUAAAAGAAAUAGGCCAUUAAGUCUGUGAUUUUUGAAUAAAUUUCUAAAUAAAUGAUUUCCUACAAUGAAUAUUCAUUGAAAAGUUAGGGGAAAAAAAAGCAUUUAAAUAUUUCUUGAGUAAUGAAGUCAGAAAAUCAUAUGAGGAAACAACCAGCUAUGUUGUCUUGGGCCAUUUUCAGUGGUGACACAGAUAUUCAGGAACCUGAGAGCAUCCCAGCACAGUGCAGAAGAAAACAGUCAGUCUGGGUUACUUAGCUCUGCCUCUGGUCUAAUCCAACCCUUGCUAUUUCAAUGCAGUUAUUUGUUCUGUAACAGUAACUAAAUACUGGGGUAAUUCUUCCCUUUUACCAUGCAUUGUACUGUAGCAAUUUUUGAGUCAUAUUCCUUCCACUGUGAACGCUGGUAUUUGUUUUCCUCUUGACAUAGGAAUGUUUGAGCAAGCCAUAUGAGGCUCUGCACAGCUUCUCUUCUGAUCUAAUCUUCUGCUACAAGAAGUUUUGUCCCUGUCUAGAUUAUCCCCUUCCUCUUGAAGCACAGCUUCUUGGAAAAUACACCUCUGUAGUGUACUAAGAGUUCAGGAGGCAUGCUUCACAUUAUAGCGUAUGUUCAAUCAGUGUAGCUCCCAUACUUACCACAAUUGCAGAGCUUUAGCGGUCUUUGCAGUAAUUCACACUUUUAUGAGAGUUAUGUCAGAAAAAAAAAGAAAAGUUGAGAAACUUCUGCUGGACUAGGUCAGUACGUGCUUCUUGCUUGCAUCUGAUUGAACCUGAGCUUCUGUGUGGAACCUGGCAAAACACUAUAUGUGUGAGCAGCUAACAGUGUUGCUUGUAUAUACAGGAUGUGUGAAGAUCGAAUGAGUGUCAGAAGAAAAAAGAGCAAAUUUAGAAGAACAUUGUGAAGCUUUGUUUCUAAAAUACUGUGCAAUAUGUAGCUAUAAAAAGUUUCCGUUCUGCUCAUCAUUUUAAAUAAACUUAUGUUGUACU
ensembl:lncRNA